rnacentral:rRNA from 1 species
GAUGAAUGCUGGCGGCGUGCCUAAUACAUGCAAGUCGAGCGGUAACAGGGAGUUCACAAAGCUUCGGAUUUUUUGGAAAGUGUAACUUACGAAAUAUCGGGAUUUUUGUGAACUUUGCUGACGAGCGGCGGACGGCUGAGUAACGCGUGGGAACGGACCCUAAAGUGAGGAAUAACCUCUCGAAAGAGAGGCUAAUACCGCAUAUGAUCUUCGGAUUAAAGCAUUUAUGCGCUUUGGGACUGGCCUGCGUCUGAUUAGAUAGUUGGUGAGGUAAUGGCUCACCAAGUCGACGAUCAGUAGAUGGUUUGAGAGGAUGAUCAUCCAGACUGGGACUGAGACACGGCUCAGACUCCUACGGGAGGCAGCAGUAGGGAAUCUUUCACAAUGGACGAAAGUCUGAUGGAGCAACGCCGCGUGCAGGACGAAGGCCUUCGGGUCGUAAACUGCUUUUAUUAGCGAGAAAUAUGAUGGUAACUAAUGAAUAAGGAUCGGCUAACUACGUGCCAGCAGCCGCGGUCAUACGUAGGAUCCGAGCAUUAUCCGGAGUGACUGGGCGUAAAGAGUUGCGUAGGUGGCAAGAUAAGUAGAUAGUAAAAUCUGGUGGCUCAACCAUUCAGUUCGUUAUCUAAACUGUCUUGCUCGAGAUCGUCAGGGGUAGCUGGAAUUUCUAGUGUAGGAGUGAAAUCC